AACGAACGCUGGCGGCAGGCCUAACACAUGCAAGUCGAGCGAAGCCUUCGGGCUUAGCGGCGGACGGGUGAGUAACGCGUGGGAAUGUGCCCUUUGGUACGGGAUAGCCCCGGGAAACUGGCUGCAAUACCGUUUGUGCCCUUCGGGGGAAAGAUUUUUCGCCAAAGGAUUGGCCCGCGUUGGAUUAGGUAGUUGGUGGGGUAAUGGCCUACCAAGCCGACGAUCCAUAGCUGGUUGGAGAGGAUGAUCAGCCACACUUGGACUGAGACACGGCCCAGACUCCUACGGGAGGCAGCAGUGGGGAAUCUUAGACAAUGGGGGAAACCCUGAUCUAGCCAUGCCGCGUGAUCGAUGAAGGCCUUAGGGUUGUAAAGAUCUUUCAGUGGGGAAGAUAAUGACUGUACCCACAGAAGAAGCCCCGGCUAACUCCGUGCCAGCAGCCGCGGUAAGAC
rnacentral:rRNA from 1 species